CUUUCAGGUAUAUUUCCUGGGGGAAGGAGAGUGGCAAUCAAAUAAGCACUACAAAAUACUCAAACAGGUAAAAGUCCCUGAAGCCACCUCUCCAUGCUUAAUUAAAAUCAGGCUUUCUUGGCUGGGGGAAUGGCUUGGCAGUUAAGGAUGAUUAUUGCUAUUACAGACGACCCAACUUCAGUUCCCAUGUUGGGCCACUCACAACUGCCUCCCACAAUUUGAUUGAGAUUUCACCUUACAACUGUCAGAAUGACUAAGAGCAGUGAUACAAGUGACAGUACAUGCUGGCCAGGAUGUGGAACAAGGGGAACAAAC